AAGUAAUACAUUUUUUAUAGCAUAUGAAGAAGUUAACAUUUAAUCUGGACAUUGUAAAUACUGAAAUUUUAUUUCUUCAAAAGUAAACAAAACAAUUAAGGGCAAUAGUCGUGAAUUUCUAAAACUUUUAAAUAACUUGUAAUUCCGGUUCCUUAGUAGUCAUGUAUAAUAUGUAACAGUACCAUCGGAAUUGUGUUCGGUGUGAUUUAUUAGCCAUACAUAUGUUUGAGAUAAAUCGGUACUUCAUAGAAUGGAUUUAAAUAUGUCAAUGCGAAAAAUAUGUGAAUAAUGUAGAACGAUAGCCACAAAAAGUAAUGAUAAGUGUUCUCUUAAUGAUUUCCCCCUUGAACAGUAUCGAAGAAGAAAUAGGUCUCUCCGAUAAUUGGAAAGCGCUACACGUGGUAGCAAAGCAAUAUAAGCACAAUAGUGGUAGUGUUUACAAAGAGUCGCAACAGCUAAGCUACCGAAUGCGAUAGGAAUGCUAGAUUUUCUCUGAUAUGAGCUCAUUAUGAACAUGUCCCAAUUGACAGCAGAGAACAUAUAACCAGUUCUUUGCGUUCUCUGCGGUUAUAAAAAAUAAAUUUUGAGGCGCUCUCACACCAGAACAAGUUGGGUAUUCCUUUAUCACUGACUGACAGUAUGACUAUAAGCUCCCUUGGUGAAUAAUCUGUUCGCGGAGUAAAUCGUGAAUAUAUAUAAAAAUUACGGAUCUGUUCCUAAUUUUUGUGGAAAAAGUGAUUUUAAGCAAAUUUAUUAGGCGAAUAAAAAUAGAAAACCUAUAAACCUAUUGCUGGCAUAUGUCCAAAGAGGAGGUUAAACAAAGAACACAAAUAUCGCACGCUUUUUACAAUUCGUAUUCACCAAUAAACGCAUAACAAAAGAAAACAUCGACUUGCAUGCUUGCGUUAAUAAAACAAACAUAAAAAAUGGAGUUGCAUAUGACUACACAAAGUGAACCUCUGCAUCGUCUAGAUGGUGAACAACAAACAAGGAAAUUUGCUGUGACCCACGGCACUAAGGUAUCCCUUCAUGAGGAUUCGGAAGUGCUCAAGGUAUACUAUUUAUCUGGCUGUGUUCUUUUAAGGUCAAGUACAUUAAUCCCUGUAGGUAAAAGUUGUUUUGGGAGGGGAUAUGCAAGAAUAUGUAUGCAAUGUGAACCUUGUACUUGUUUUUGGUUCUAAAUUGCUUUUCAGCUGCUCUUUAACAAAUAUUUGAGUACAUAUGUAAGUACAUAUGUAUGUGCUUAAAUUUUAAGCACUCAUUUUUCUAAUAACUUUCGUUUUGUUAAAUGAAAACAUUCUGUUUUUAUAAAGGUUGUGAUUAUAAUUAAUGUUAUAUUUUGGACGGUAUGUUGUGUUAUUUAAUUACACCUAAUGCAUUUAAAGUAACGUAUUUCCUUAUUAACCAAAAGUAGCACAGAAAAAUUAAGGAAUGAAUUAUGCCUUUAUCAGUUAGCAUCCCAUAAAGAAGCCAAAACGAAGUUAAAAAUAUAAUUUCAUUAUUUAGAUAAAAAUUAUUAAUGCAAACUAACCUAACGACAGUUUUGGAAAUUUAUUGGUGAAUGACUGAAACACGAUAUAAUAUGGAUAACGCGCUGAAACAAAAUUUAAUUGUUGGUUAUAACUGGGUUAUAUCUGAUGACAGAAUCUUAAAAUGUUGGACACAUGUACAUACAUAUGUAUGUACUUAUAUAUACAUAUGUAAUUUGAAGUAGUGAAUUGUAAUCAAUAAAAUAUCAAAUUUCGAAUUUUUUGAUCAUACGUCAUUUUGCAUUUUAGGUGAUGGUAUGUAAUUAAAGUCACGAAAGAAAUCCACAAAUAACCUAAAGUUAUCUGAGAGAAUUGAAUUAUUAAAACGAAUAAGGCUUAACUUAAGUCGACUAAAUAGCAAACAUUGUUUAUUAUUAAUUUUGCAUAGCUUCCUGUUUUUAUGUUUUUGUUCCUACAUAUUUUUCACCUUUUAUUUAAAAAAUAUAUAUAUCUAUAUGUACGUACAUAUGUAUAUAUUUUUUUCAACCUUAUAAAAUAUUUUAAUUUUUAACUGAUUACGAAGUACUUUGAUAACUUUUCUGACAUUUCUACCGAUGCAAUUUUUCACAGCGGCGAAGCACAUGCAUACAUAAGUACAUAUGUAUGUUCAUAUUAUAUAUUAGGUGCGUGUUAUAUUCUGCGAUUUAACGAAUUAUUAUAAUUUAUAUAACUAACUAACAAUUAUAAUAUUAUAUUAAUAACUAUCGGAUUUCCCGUCCGGCACGGUCGGCGUCAAAUAUGUAUAUGUAUAUCUAAUAUCAAAUAUCAUAUUUACAGACACGUUACAUCAAAGCCUUCCUUGUUGCUAAAUUAUGAGAGCGCAUUGUCACUUUCUUUAUCAGGUACAGAUCUCCACAGUGCGCAACUAAAUUUCUGUUUUUUUUUUUUAAUAAAUUUUAUUGUAAAGAAAUGGUUGCAAAUUAAUUAUCUGAAGUAUUGCCCAUCGUUAGUCACCAUUUGUUACCAUCUUUCUGGCAAAGCCAGAAUAAUACAAGUAUUACAGUUUUACUGUCUGUCUUCAUCUUGUGAUGCUAUACAACAAUCAAGCCAUUUUUCGAUGUCGUGAAUGAAACUGCUUCUGAGCCAGACCUUCUGCCAUUAAACGGAAGAAAUAACAAUCCGACGGUGCAAUAUUUGAAGAAUGUGGCGGAUGGGAUAGGAUUUCCCAUUUAAGCGUUUUCAGGUAGGUCUUAGCGGGUUUGGCAGCGUGAGGGCGAUCGUUUUCAUGCUGCAGAAGAAUUUUUUCGUGCUUCUCCUUGAGGUCAUUAGGAACCCAAGUUCCUUGUGUCUGAAUCAUUCCCAGUGCAUGUAGUCGACUUGAAAUGACUUGGCGGGUACGUCCCAAUGCUGAAGCAAGUACUUCUUGCGUUUGACAUGGAUUCUCAUCAAGGAACGUCUCACCGUCUUAUAAGGAUUUUGGCCUUCCUUCGCGCGGAAUAUCUAAAUCGCCGUCUUUGAAGCGACGAAACCAAUUACGGCACGUUGUUUCACUUGGGGCAGCACCUCCGUAAACUUUUUGGAGUCCCCGAUGUGAUGUGAUGUGCUUCAGACGACGAUUUCUUUGAUUGAAAGAAGAAAAUCAACACUUCCCGCAAAUGACGAUUAUUUGGGAAAAGAGGAUAUAUUGGCACAACCAUAUAUGACACAAACACAAAAAUCCCUAACAAAAAUUCACAAUUAUAUAUCUAGCUUAAUAAUUGAAUAUGAAUAUAUGUAUGUACGUAUGUAUGUUAUCAUUACUGCACAAUUAUUAAUCAACAUCGAGAUAACCCCAAAUUACCUACGCAAGAGCCUCCUGUUAAGAUAACGUUUGAAUUAUUGAAUUAGUCAAAAAAUUAAAGCAUAAUAUUUCUGUGAUUUCGCCAAUGCUUCUGUUAUGUGCUUUUGCUGCUGCCUCUUAGUGAAAUUAAUGAUGGUACUUUAACCUCAUAUACAUAGUAUGUACAUAUGUACGUUCUAAAAUAUUUGUAUUUUUGUGAAAGACAAUUUUCGUUGAAUUAAAAAUAAUUUUGUCAUACAUAUGUACAUAUGUGUGUAUAUAAAGUAUUAUUAAAAAUACGUAAACUAGAACCACGAUUAAAUUAUUAAAGGUCAUGAGGGAUUGCUUGCAAUAAAUAUUUGUAUAUUAAUAAAUAAAAUGUUGA